CGCCAACGCCAGGCCUCUCACCAACAAACUGGACAGAAUUUGUCUGAGGAUCGUCUCACGUAAGUAGGGCUGGGCACCGAAUGUCGGUUCUUUCUUGGCACCGACCGAAAUGUGACGGUUCUACUUGGUAUUGAAACAUGCCUCGUCUGUCGGUUCCAAGUUUCGGUGCCCAGAGGUUUAUCACGUGUAAGUAGCUGUCAUCUGAUUGGCUGAAACGUCCGCGUGCAUGAAGUACACAAACUGAUCACGCCCCUCUCGUUCUCAAGCGUCUUUCCAUGUUUGAUGCAUCGACAAAGUCUACAAAAAUGCCGAAGUCGAAAGCCUGGUUAUAUUUUCGCAAGAAUGAUAAAUCUACUGCGUGUUGCAAUAUAUGCGACAAGAACAUCGUCUGCAAGAACAGCAACACAUCUAAUUUAUUGAAACAUUUGACGGUCCGUGGAAUAAAUUUGAGAGCGGAGAGUUGCACACUUUUCUCUCCCACAAGUUCUUCCUCGGAGUCGACUUCAAGUGCACCCUCGACUUCGACUUUGCCACUCCCGACUUCUCUGCAGGAGGGCUCGGAUUCAUCUGACACCGAGCAAAGCACGUUUCUGAAGUUUCAUCUGCCUCUGCCCACGUCCCUGUCCCUGAUGUGAGGAGGAAAAGGCAGGCAUCUACUGCCAUAAACCCGUUCACGACAGCCGAAAGGGCCAAAAUGUCUAAAGAUCAACAGGCAGAGUACCACAGGGCAGUGACGCGGUUUGUAGUUAAAGGCUUGCUGCCGUUUUCUACGGUGGAGACUCCGUGGUUCAGGUAAGUUGGCUGUACAGGUUAUUAUUGAAUAACUUAAAGAAUAUUUAUUUGUACUCCUUUAUCUUUAUUUAUCUAAAGUAAGCCAAGAUGUAUUUUAAGUGAUGUGCUUUAAGCAAUGAGAACAUAACAAUGUUAUUGUUAAUGUUUUGUCUAAUGUCUUGUCAAUUAGGGAGAUGAUAAGAACCCUUAACCCCAGGUAUCAGCCUCCCAGCAGAGACAUGCUGGCAAAUACAUUUAUACCAGCCUGGUGUGCAGCCGAGAAGGAAAGGGUCACGGCAGAAUUGAGAGACGUCAGGGAUGUGGCUGUGACGGCGGAUGAGUGGACCAGCGUGGCUCAGGACCACUACUUGACUGUCUCUGUCUACUACGUGAGAGAAGGGCAAAUGAAAGAGAAAAUCCUGCAUACCAGGGCUGUGUACACUUCCCAGACAGGACAGGUGAUAGCUGAGGAGAUAGGGGAUGUUCUUCAGGAGUUUGAAGUAAAGGAAAAGGUUGUUGCCAUCACAGUUGACAACGCAGCUAACAUGAAUGUAGCCAUUAAAAAGAUGAACAUCAGGAAGAUUGGCUGCUUUGCCCACACACUAAAUAUAGCAGCACAAAAACUUUACAAUGUACCUGCAAUUUCAAGGUGUGCAGGAUGAAUCCGGGCCUUGGCGGUAUGGAUGAAACGAAGCAGUUUGGCAAAGUCAGUGCUUAAAGAGAAGCAGCGUCUUCUUGGUCUUCCAGAACAUGCAGUUGUUCUUGAUGUCAGGACCCGCAUAUAUGCAUAUAUUUGUGCAGGCUGGAAAGGAUUACUGAUGACGACUACAGAAAGGCGGAAGAGUUUGUCAGAGUUAUGAAGAUGCUCUACACUUCAACUCUCAGCAUCUCCACUGAAAGGAGUCCAACUUUGGGCCAGAUUCUGCCCAUCCUGGGUAAACUGCAACAACACUUAACAGUUACCGAUGAAGACUCCUCCUCAUUUACACGGGCCAUCAAGGAGAAGAUCUGGGGUGACCUCUCUCAACGAUACCAAGAUGAGAGCAUCAGACAGUUCUUGGAGGAGGGCACAGCCUUGGAUUCAAGGUUCAAGACCAAAGUGACAGACGAAGUGUGGUCCAGAGUGGAGAAGGAGCUAAUAAAUAGGGCUUCACAACAGACUGAAGGUGUAGCGGCCGAGUAAAUGGAGCAAGAGCUGGAAGGGACAGCUGGUGACCAAGGCAAAGACUCAUCUGAUGAAGACUCUACAGUUACAGUAAACCCAAAGAGAAAACCAGGGCUCUCUGCCCUUGGGGAGCUGUUUGCUGAUGAGGAUUUGGCAGUGGAAUCCAGGCAGGAGACAGCAAAGACUAUUACAGAGAAGGCCCAGGACGAGAUACAGCGAUACAGAGAACUGCCAUCCACACUGACCUCUGUGAACCCAGCAACCUGGUGGUGGACUUUUAGAGACACCUUGCCAUUGUUAUCCAACUUGGCAGGCAGGUACCUCUGUGUGCAGGCAUCGUCCACUCCUGCUGAGCGCACAUUUUGGACGGCUGGGGACACCAUCAGCCAGGAACGGUUUGCCUGUCCCCUGAGAAGGCUGACAUGUUAAUUUUCUUGAAGAAAAAUUGUUAAUUACAUUGGCACGUGUGUGUCUGCACGUGCGUGUUUAUAGUGUGAAGAUGUUUGAGUUCUUACCUCUUGAGUUCAUAUUUUUGCACUGGAAAUAGCACUAAUAAAUAUACUCCAAUAU